CUGUCCAAGGCAGGGGUCAGGCGGUACUCUUUGGUGACUGACAAGAUGGCUUUGAUCAGAUUGUCUGUGGACAGAGGAGGGAGGUUACUGUUAGAGGGUCACGGGCAUCCCCAUGAAGUGUUUGCGGAUGACAUUCAGGAGGCACAUGCUCCCAUGUAGGGUGGAGGUGGAGGUGAGGGUGGGGAGAGGGAGCUCUGGCACAAGGUUUGGCUGGGCCACUGGCCCAGCUUUCUCCCUGAGGAACGAGAUGCAGGCAGGGGAACGGGCAGGUGCACUCGGCUCUGCCUGGAACCAGUCUCCAGUAUGGACGUGCGCUUUCUCCCCCAGGGCUCCCCAGCCCUUUCUGGGAUGCCUCCUCCGGCUUCCCGAGGCUUGUGGUCAGGCCCCAGGACACGGAUCCCCGGCCUGAGACCUGCUCAGGGACAGAGACCAUGCUCGGCUUGCCUCCGUGCCCCCAGUGAGGAGACACCAGAGAGCGAGUGAGGAGGCCAGCGAUGAUGAAGAGCUCAAGUGGGCCCACCAGCUCCCGAGUCAGACCCCUUUGCCACUUUCUGAUACCGGCUUCCCCUCACUUCCCCCUCUAGCACUGCCCAUCUUCAAUCUUGGCCUUGCCCACCUGUCUCUGCCUCCUUCGCUCUCCAACCCGAGGCCUGGGAUCUGCCCACCUGCACUCCACUCAGGCAGCCCUCAGCAAGGGCCCAGGACCUCUGUGUUCUCAGAUCCUGUGACCACUAGCCAGACCUCCUACUUCUUGGCCUCAGGCUUUGCCUAUGGUGACUUACUCCUCUUUCAAACUCAGGCAUAAGGAGAACAUUGUAAUAUAACAUGUAAAGAUACUGGCUUUGGAGUCAAAUCCUAGCUGUGCUACCUCAGAGCUCUGUGACCUUAGAUAAAUCAUGUACUUUCUUUGCGUUUUAGUUCCCCAUCUUUCAAGUGAAGAUGGUAAUUCCUAUUCCGGCAGAGUCAUUGGGAAGAUAAAAAGAUAAUAUACAUAGAGAUCUGGAGGUAAAAGUAAGUAAAUCAGUGCAACCAUAGUGGAGAGCAUCUUAGUAACGCUGAGCAGAGAUGUGGAUGUGCACAGACUAAGAUCUUGCAAGUCUCCUCCUAGGCAGAUAGCAUCUGAAUGUUCCUACAUUUGUUUAAGGAAACUUGUGCAAGAAGGUUCGCUGUGGAGCUGUUCAUAAUAGCAAAAUGCUGGAGGCAAGCUAAAUGUUCAAAGGAAGACAGAUUAAAUGUGGAACCCAGAGUACUACGCAGCAGUAAAAACAAAUAAAAAAGUGACCUUGGGCCACAUGUACUAAUACAGAUAAUCCUGAAAAGCAUAAGCAAAAAAAAAAUAAUAAUUUGAAACACACACACAUAUACAUACGUAUACAUAUAAUAUUAUUUGUAAAAUGUAAAAACAUGUAAAAACAGUGCCUUAUUUUCAAUGGACAUAUAAAUAUGUCACAGACAUAGAUAAACAGGCUUUGGAAUAGUAACCCCCCAACCAGGCCAAUGGUCUCCUGAGAAGGAGGGGCAGGGAACAGAAAAGGCCACACAGAGCUUUGAUUAUAUCUCCUGUUUUAUUCCUUAAGCUGGGGACACAAUACGUGGUUGCUCACGGUUUUCGUCUUCAUUCUUUUUUAUAUGACUGAAAUAUUCCACAUAAAGAAACACUGCCUCCCAACUUAAAAGUAACAACCCUGUGGUUUUUUUUUUACAAGAUGGGGCCACAGACCCCCUCCUUUUCCCACCUCCCAUUUCACCUCUAACAAAAAAGCAAUAUUGCUACUAAUUGGCCAAAGUCGAGGAUAUGGCUUAGGUUUUUGUUUCCUAGGAGGGGACUUUAGCAGAAGAGUAUGAAUUAGUAGGUGCUCUCCUCUUGCUGGCCAAUGGGCUGUGUACCAGCCUUCUCAGGCCUUCGUAGUUUAACAGGAUCAGAGUGAGGAUUUAGGAAAAGAGUAGGCUGCUGAGACACCUGUGCCCAGUAAAAAGGAGUUCUACCCAUUAGAUUUGUCCUUGGGGGUCUGAGGUUGAAAUUCCUGUUCUUGAGUGUCCUUUUGCUGGUCACUGUCUUCUUCUCAGGGAGGGGUGGACUCACUAAGUGGCAAAUUCAGGUAUGUUUGAGUCCCCUGGCCAAAUGAUAUCACCCCUUCAACGGUGCUCUUAUGUAAGUCUGGCCACAACCUAAUACAAUGGGAUUAUUUUCCCCAUGUAACUGAUGAAGACACUAAAGCACAGGCAGGUUAAGGAACAUGUCCAAGGUCACAGCUAGUAAAGAAGUAGUACUGAGAUCUGAUCCUUCAGUGUCUGACCAUAAAGCCCAAUCCCUACCAUGCAGGAACUUGACAACAGAACUGUCAAACUGUCAGGGGCUAGAAAGUCUUCAGUCAGGAGGGAGCUGCAUGGCCAAGGUCCCUAAGGCAAUGGAAGGGGACAGUCCUGAGGGCACAAGGGACAGAGGCACUGAGGAUGCUGGCCACAGCUUAGGUGUACCAGCAAAGGAAACCAGUCCCUGGAUAAGCCCACACCAAGAACCUUUCCUCUUGUGUCAGGACUGAGCUGAUGAAAAAUGUUUGCAAAGUCUCUCAGCCAGGCCUGGACAAGAUUUUAUCUGCUUCCCAAUAUGUACUGGAUGUUAUAUGCUAAUAAAAUCUCUUAAGAUCUGG